rnacentral:tRNA from 1 species
GGGCCCGUAGCUUAACUGAAUAGAGCAUCUGACUACGGAUCAGAAGGUUGGGGGUUUGACUCCCUCCGGGCCCACAA